GUGUGAACAAAUCUGACUAGCCAACUGAUGUGAAUACACAUGGAUGAGUCAAUGUCCAUUCUUUUCCGUUUCACCUAGUGGCAGAGUAUAAAAGCAACAUAAUUCACUGCUCAGCAGUUUCUCAACCAGCUCUUCUUGCAUCAGAUUUGAAGUAACAGAAGAGUGCCAUCUCAACAAGUGCACACGGAGAAACCAGGCCGCUACCGUCUCACAGAGACUAAGGAGGAAACUCUGAUCCUGCGGGAAAAAGCAACUCUGAAGCAGAAACACCACUGAAUCCAGUUUUUAAUCAUACAAUAGAAAGAAAAGCAGAGAACCAGUUUAUAAAUUUUUUUGAAAAGUUAUCUUAAAAUUCUGUGAAAUGAUAAAUUUCUGUGUCCUAUAACAUACAAUAUAUAUGGACAAAAACGCACAGCUUCAGUUAUUAAAUUUAUCAUCAUUACUCUUCAA